AUUGAACGCUGGCGGCAGGCCUAACACAUGCAAGUCGAAUGGUAACAGGAAACAGCUUGCUGUUUCGCUGACGAGUGGCGGACGGGUGAGUAAUGUCUGGGAAACUGCCUGAUGGAGGGGGAUAACUACUGGAAACGGUAGCUAAUACCGCAUAACGUCGCAAGACCAAAGAGGGGGACCUUCGGGCCUCUUGCCAUCAGAUGUGCCCAGAUGGGAGUAGCUAGUAGGUGGGGUAACGGCUCACCUAGGCGACGAUCCCUAGCUGGUCUGAGAGGAUGACCAGCCACACUGGAACUGAGACACGGUCCAGACUCCUACGGGAGGCAGCAGUGGGGAAUAUUGCACAAUGGGCGCAAGCCUGAUGCAGCCAUGCCGCGUGUAUGAAGAAGGCCUUCGGGUUGUAAAGUACUUUCAGCGGGGAGGAAGGGAGUAAAGUUAAUACCUUUGCUCAUUGACGUUACCCGCAGAAGAAGCACCGGCUAACUCCGUG
rnacentral:rRNA from 1 species